rnacentral:rRNA from 1 species
AACGAACGCUGGCGGCAGGCCUAACACAUGCAAGUCGAGCGCCCCGCAAGGGGAGCGGCGGACGGGUGAGUAACGCGUGGGAACGUACCUUUUGCUUCGGAAUAGCCUCGGGAAACUGGGAGUAAUACCGAAUGUGCCCUACGGGGGAAAGAUUUAUCGGCAAAAGAUCGGCCCGCGUUGGAUUAGGUAGUUGGUGGGGUAAUGGCCUACCAAGCCGACGAUCCAUAGCUGGUUUGAGAGGAUGAUCAGCCACACUGGGACUGAGACACGGCCCAGACUCCUACGGGAGGCAGCAGUGGGGAAUCUUAGACAAUGGGCGCAAGCCUGAUCUAGCCAUGCCGCGUGAGCGAUGAAGGCCUUAGGGUUGUAAAGCUCUUCCGUAGGGGAAGAUAAUGACUGUACCCCAAGAAGAAGCCCCGGCUAACUCCGUGCCAGCCGCCGCAGUAAAAC